AGAGCGAACGCUGGCGGCAGGCUUAACACAUGCAAGUCGAGCGGGCGUAGCAAUACGUCAGCGGCAGACGGGUGAGUAACGCGUGGGAACAUACCUUUUGGUUCGGAACAACACAGGGAAACUUGUGCUAAUACCGGAUAAGCCCUUACGGGGAAAGAUUUAUCGCCGAAAGAUUGGCCCGCGUCUGAUUAGCUAGUUGGUGAGGUAACGGCUCACCAAGGCGACGAUCAGUAGCUGGUCUGAGAGGAUGAUCAGCCACAUUGGGACUGAGACACGGCCCAAACUCCUACGGGAGGCAGCAGUGGGAAUAUUGGACAAUGGGCGAAAGCCUGAUCCAGCCAUGCCGCGUGAGUGAUGAAGGCCCUAGGGUUGUAAAGCUCUUUUGUGCGGGAAGAUAAUGACGGUACCGCAAGAAUAACGCCCCGGCUAACGUUCGCGCCAGCAGCCGC
rnacentral:rRNA from 1 species